rnacentral:rRNA from 1 species
UACGUAGGGUGCAAGCGUUGUCCGGAAUUAUUGGGCGUAAAGAGCGUGUAGGCGGCUAGAUAGGUCCGUUGUGAAAACUCGAGGCUCAACCUCGAGACGUCGAUGGAAACCAUCUGGCUAGAGUCCGGAAGAGGAGAGUGGAAUUCCUGGUGUAGCGGUGAAAUGCGCAGAUAUCAGGAAGAACACCCGUGGCUAAGGCGGCUCUCUAGUACGGUACUGACGCUGAGACGCGAAAGCGUGGGGAGCGAACAGG